rnacentral:piRNA from 1 species
UUAUAAUAAUUCGUCUGAGCAUCUACC